rnacentral:rRNA from 1 species
AUUGAACGCUGGCGGCAUGCCUUACACAUGCAAGUCGAACGGCAGCACGGGGCAACCUGGUGGCGAGUGGCGAACGGGUGAGUAAUGCAUCGGAACGUGCCAUUGAGUGGGGGAUAACGUAGCGAAAGUUGCGCUAAUACCGCAUAUUCUGUGAGCAGGAAAGCAGGGGACCGCAAGGGCCUUGCGCUCUUUGAGCGGCCGAUGUCAGAUUAGCUAGUUGGUGAGGUAACGGCUUACCAAGGCGACGAUCUGUAGCGGGUCUGAGAGGAUGAUCCGCCACACUGGAACUGAGACACGGUCCAGACUCCUACGGGAGGCAGCAGUGGGGAAUUUUGGACAAUGGGCGCAAGCCUGAUCCAGCCAUGCCGCGUGAGUGAAGAAGGCCUCGG